GGAUAUCAUGACUAGAAGAGACUAGUUGAUACUCUGGGCAGGUCCUGGAUGAACAAGUGCCAGAAAUUUUUCAUCAAUAAGUUGCCAGCCCUCAGCUCCACCUUUCCAUCAGAUUUCAUCUUAUUAAACAACAGAGCCACAGAAUUUUAAAAAGGACGAAGCCUGCAAUGUUUCCCACAACAAACCUUUUGGAAGCAAGUUCCACUAAAACCGAGGAAAAGGAGAAACACAGAUUUGAUGAUUAUAGGCCAAAAUCACCACCUUCGGCUUCACCAGUGUUUGUCAGGUACAAAACUUAUAUAUGCUCAUUGGAGAAGAGGAAGAAGAAGGAGGAGGAGGAAGAGGAAGAAGAUGAGGAUGAUGAAAGAGGGAAGGAGGGAAGGAAGGAAGGAAGGAAGGAAGGAAAAAAGGAAAGAAGAAAAAGAAAGGAAGGAUGAAAGAGAAGGAAAGAAGGAAAAGAAAUUCUAGCUUUGAGAAUCUUGGAUGGCUCAUCCAGAUACUGCCAAUCCCUGGGCUGGUCAGUGGCCUUUGACCUGUGUAGCCUGGCUCAGAAAAAUGAAUGAUAUCAGUCACAUUCUCCCUCUCAGGAAUGUGGCCUCUAAAACUCAGAGGGAAGUAGGACUUGUGAAGAAACUGGUCCCAUUUGGACUGUAUGGUGCUAUCCAGACCCUCGUCUAAGACGGCAGCACCUAUGGUCCCCAGCUGCAGCCUUCGUGUCACACAGGAGGACAACUCUGAGACCAACACAAUUCCAAAGCUCCUCGCAGGGCUGGCUGAAGCCUUUGUUGAGGCUGCUCUGCUGCUCAAUUUCUCCCCCUACCCACUCCUCCUUCUCCAUUCGCCCCCACACUCCCAAGGACAUUAGCCCCAGGGCCCACCAUGAUAAGCUUUCUGCUCACUAAUCUUCACCUCAGAGUCUGUUUCUAGGGGGACCAACCUGCCACAGGGUAGGAAGAAAGGAUGAUGCGUGGAAUCAGGUGUGUCUGGCACAGGCCCUUUCCUCCUGGCCUGAGUCCUGUUAUCUUUACAUCCCACGUUCUCUGACUUCUGUCCUCCUGGAGAUUUGCUUACCUGACACUCCAAAGGACAAAGGAUAAGUUUCGCAGAGAUGUAAGGCCAGAUCUAGUAAUACCUAGCUGAGCCUUAGUUUCUUCAUCUGUAAAAGGAACCUUUGCCAGGGCCGUUCCACCCACUGUGUCUUUCCCUCCACACUUCACCCAGAGCAUUCGCCAGUGCCAUGGGGGUGAUACAGCAGGGGAUGGGUUCCUAUUGGGUUGCAUUCCACUGAGGAUAAUAGGAUAAACAGCUACUUUCACAAUUAGCCUUUUCAUGAAAAUGAUGUGAGAUCAUCAUUGCUAUUUGAAGCACUUCAACAGGGUGGGGUUUCUGAAGCCCCAUUUUAAUUAGUGCCCUCCCCACUCUGGCCCAACAUAAAAC
rnacentral:lncRNA from 1 species